rnacentral:rRNA from 1 species
AGUGAACGCUGGCGGUAGGCCUAACACAUGCAAGUCGAACGGCAGCACAGUAAGAGCUUGCUCUUACGGGUGGCGAGUGGCGGACGGGUGAGGAAUACAUCGGAAUCUACUUUUUCGUGGGGGAUAACGUAGGGAAACUUACGCUAAUACCGCAUACGACCUACGGGUGAAAGCAGGGGAUCUUCGGACCUUGCGCGAUUGAAUGAGCCGAUGUCGGAUUAGCUAGUUGGCGGGGUAAAGGCCCACCAAGGCGACGAUCCGUAGCUGGUCUGAGAGGAUGACCAGCCACACUGGAACUGAGACACGGUCCGGACUCCUACGGGAGGCAGCAGUGGGGAAUAUUGGACAAUGGGCGCAAGCCUGAUCCAGCCAUACCGCGUGGGUGAAGAAGGCCUUCGGGUUGUAAAGCCCCUUUGUUGGGAAAGAAAAGCAGCAGGUUAAUACCCCGCUGUUCUGACGGUACCCAAAGAAUAAGCACCGGCUAACUUCGUG